rnacentral:lncRNA from 1 species
AUGGUGAUGUGGUUGGGGGCAACGCCGGCAAGGACUCGCCGCUGCGGUGGCUGCGAUGGAGGAAGAGUUGCUGCCCUGUGUUUUUGUCACUGUGUGAGAUGAGAGCGCCGAGGCUGAAAGGCGACGGUUGUGACUGCUGUGACCCAAGGAAGCAAUCGUCGAGCAACCGGGUUGAGGCUGCGGUGAUGCCAACCAACAACUGCAGCAGCGGAGGCAGAACAAGAGGGAGGUGGCGUU